rnacentral:rRNA from 1 species
GACGAACGCUGGCGGCGUGCCUAAUACAUGCAAGUCGAACGAGAGCAACCGGUGCUUGCACUGGUCAAUCUAGUGGCGAACGGGUGAGUAACACGUGGGUAACCUGCCCAUCAGAGGGGGAUAACAUCCGGAAACGGAUGCUAAAACCGCAUAGGUCUUCGAACCGCAUGGUUUGAAGAGGAAAAGAGGCGCAAGCUUCUGCUGAUGGAUGGACCCGCGGUGCAUUAGCUAGUUGGUGAGGUAACGGCUCACCAAGGCCGUGAUGCAUAGCCGACCUGAGAGGGUGAUCGGCCACAUUGGGACUGAGACACGGCCCAAACUCCUACGGGAGGCAGCAGUAGGGAAUCUUCCGCAAUGGACGCAAGUCUGACGGAGCAACGCCGCGUGAGUGAAGAAGGUUUUCGGAUCGUAAAACUCUGUUGUUAGAGAAGAACAAGUGCUAGAGUAACUGUUAGCGCCUUGACGGUAGCUAAACAGAAAGCCACGGCUAACUACGUG